UUGAAAUCCUUGAAACCAAAGUCAUCUAUUUUUCCAUAGGCCAGGUACAGUUCAGACAGGGGCAGUGCAAGCUGCUCUACACCAUCAUUGUGCCUCAGCUCUGACCUUAAGAGACCAGGCCUAAAGGGGAGAGUCUUCAUGUCUGUUCAGCAAUUGGCACGU
rnacentral:sRNA from 1 species